CCAACGGCCCUCUUUAGGGCCACCAACUUUUAAUAUAUUUUUUUUU
rfam:Strongyloides ratti strain ED321 Heterogonic genome assembly, chromosome: 1